UGACCCCAUGCCGAACUCAGAAGUGAAACGCCGUAGCGCCGAUGGUAGUGUGGGGUCUCCACAUGUGAGAGUAGGGAACUGCCAGGCA
rnacentral:rRNA from 1 species